UGUCUAUUUUAAUACGAUACAAAGCGAAAGAUUCAUGCGAAUUUGCGUGGUGGCCCGGCUCCCGUUGCGUUUCCUCGGGUUCUUGCACCAGGGAGAACCCUAAGCCCAGGGUUCGAUCCUCGCCCCCACCCACGGCGGGACUUUACGCAAUUUCUAGGGCUGCCUUGCGGCGUUCUCCGCUUGCUGAAUCCAUGGCGUCCACCGAGCCGGAAUCCUCCCAAACGCCUCCUUCCGCCGCCGAGAACGGCUCCGAGCCGCCGAAUCUCAGCAAGAAGCAGGCGAAGAAGGAGGCCCAGAAGGCCGAGAGGCUCCGUAAGCAGCAAGAGGCCGCCGCCACCGCGGUGGAGUCGGCGGAAGUCGACCCCUUCUCUGGGAACUAUGGCGACGUCCCGACGGAGGAGAUCCAGUCGAAGGCGAUCAGCGGUCGCCGGUGGACGGAGAUCGGAUCGCUGGACGCCGAGCUGGCGGGUAGUACGGUGCUGAUCCGGGGCGCCGCCCAGGCAAUCAGGCCGGUCAGCAAGAAGAUGGUGUUCCUGGUGGUGAGGCACUACGUGAGCACGGUUCAGUGCGUGCUGGUCGUCAACAAGGAGUGCGUGAGCCCUCAGAUGGUCAAGUUCGCCACGGGGCUCAGCAAGGAAUCCGUCGUCGACAUCGAAGGGGUCGUCUCCAUUCCCAAGGAUCCCAUCAAGGGCACCACCCAGCAGGUGGAAGUUCAAGUAACGAAGCUUUUCUGUGUCAAUAGAGCUGUGCCGAAUUUGCCUAUCAACAUUGAGGAUGCAGCACGAAGUGAGAUGGAAUUCAAAAAAGCUGAACAGACUGGAGAGCAGCUUGUUCGUGUUGGCCAGGACACACGCUUGAAUUAUAGAGUUCUCGACAUACGCACACCUGCAAACCAAGCAACUUUCCGUAUUCAAUGUCAUGUUGAAGAUAUAUUUAGACGAUCUCUGCUGUCCGAGGGAUUUGUCGGGAUCCAUACUCCCAAGCUGGUAUCUGGAUCAAGCGAAGGUGGUGCAGCUGUAUUUAAACUGGACUACAAGGGUCAACCUGCUUGCUUGGCACAAUCACCUCAGGUUCAUAAGCAAAUGGCAAUAUGUGGUGGUUUUGGACGUGUAUUCGAAGUUGGUUCUGUAUUCAGAGCAGAAGACUCCUAUACACAUAGGCAUUUGUGUGAAUUUGUAGGCCUUGAUGUUGAAAUGGAGAUCAAGGAACAUUAUUUUGAGGUUUGUGAUAUCGUGGACUGUUUGUUUGUUGCAAUGUUUGACUAUUUGCAUGAAAACUGCCAGAAAGAAUUGGAUGCAAUCAACAGACAAUAUCCCUUUGAGCCUUUAAAGUACUUGCGGAAGACCUUGCGACUCACUUUUCUGGAGGGUGUUAAAAUGCUUAAGGAAGCUGGAAUAGAAGUCAAUCCUUUUGGGGACUUAAGUACGGAGGCAGAGAAAAAAUUGGGUCAGCUUGUUCGUGAGAAAUAUGACACUGAUUUUUAUAUUCUUUAUCGGUAUCCUUUGGCCGUGAGACCAUUCUACACCAUGCCCUGUUAUGAUGAUCCAGCAUAUAGUAAUUCAUUUGAUGUCUUCAUUCGAGGCGAGGAGAUAAUUUCAGGGGCUCAAAGAAUACACUUACCUGAGUUAUUGACUAAACGUGCAGAGGCAUGUGGAAUUGAUGUCAAGACUAUAUCAACGUAUAUUGACUCUUUCCGGAAAAACAGGGGAGAAAAAAAAAAGAAGAAAGAAAGCAAUUUUACGGGAAUGAAGUGUUAGUGCCUUAAAGUUGCUUAUUUCUGAAGUUGUCAGAUGUUGAUUAGCACAGCUCCUCCUUGGUCCUUGCACUGUAUCGAGAGGAAUGGUAUGGUGCACCUCCGCAUGGUGGGUUUGGUGUGGGCCUGGAGCGAGUUGUUAUGCUUUUCUGUGCGCUCAACAACAUACGCAAAACAUCACUGUUCCCUCGUGAUCCACAGCGGCUGGUUCCGUGACAGUAUUGUUCUUCAAUAAUUCCACUUUAAUAAAGUAUUAUUGGCUAUGUUGACGCAAAAUCACACAAGCUUUUUGACAUAUCCAACAAAUGGAAUGCAUUCUGUUGACAUCUAUGUUAAUUGAAUUAAAAGCAUAACAUUUUGGCCUUUUGAUUGGUUAA